rnacentral:rRNA from 1 species
CAUGGUUGUCGUCAGCUCGUGUCGUGAGAUGUUGGGUUAAGUCCCGCAACGAGCGCAACCCUCGACCUUAGUUGCCAGCAUUCAGUCGGGCACUCUAAGGUGACUGCCGGCUAAAAGUCGGAGGAAGGUGGGGAUGACGUCAAAUCAUCAUGCCCCUUAUGACCUGGGCUACACACGUGCUACAAUGGGCGGUACAAAGGGUCGCGAACCCGCGAGGGGGAGCCAAUCCCAAAAAGCCGCUCUCAGUUCGGAUUGCAGGCUGCAACUCGCCUGCAUGAAGCCGGAAUCGCUAGUAAUCGCGGAUCAGCAUGCCGCGGUCGAAUACGUUCCGGGCCUU